AGGGAGCCCAAUGCCAAAAUAAAAGUGUCUCCGUUUACUUUGCUACGAUGUUGCCGGCAGCCAGCGCGUGACAGCAGGGCCGUCGAAUGGGCAGCUGGGUCCCUUCCCUCCUGCGGAAGUGAGAGGAGGACCGUCCUUCAGGCUGCUGCCUUCACAGCCGGGCCUGCCCUUCUGAGGUGAGACGCUGGGCUCAGACCUCCCCGUGUCCCCCCAGGUAAGGGCAGAGGAGGGCCUGCUGCAGGCUGUGGACAGCCACGGGGAGUCCAGACUGCCUGCAAGUGGCCAGUCCUUGCUCCUCUGUCAGAGUAAAGGUGUGCGUGUGCGUGUGCGUGUGUGUGUGUGUGUGUGCGUGGGGGAGGCAGGGCUGAGACGUGCACAUGGGAGAACAUUCUACUCAGGCCAAGGGAUAAAGAAAUGGCAGCCUCUCCUUUUUUUCAUGUUAUUAAAAAUCCUUUUCUGACACCACUCCCAGCUUCAUGCCUUGGGCAGGAGGUCUAGGGCAGGGCUACCUUUGUGUAACUAUGAGAAGGUCAGUGUGCCAGUUAUCUAUUGCCACAGAUGCCAUGCAGGUGCUAUCCCCAAGCUCCGAGGUUUGUUUUUAUCAUCGCUCAUUUAUUCCCUUUAUUUAUUUAGGGUACAGGGUUGAACUCGGGGACAUUCGACCACUGAGUCACAUCUCCAGCCCUAUUUUGUAUCUUAUUUAGAGACAGGGUCUCACUGAGUUGCUUGGCACCUUGCUUUUGCUGAGGCUGGCUUUGAACUCACGAUCCUCCUGCCUCAGCCUCCUGAGCCCCUGGGAUUACAGGUGUGCACCACUCACCUGGCUCAUUUAUUUACUUAAAUUAUUUUAUUUAUUUUCAACAACUGGGCCUGAUACCGUCAAUUGAGCCCUUGCCAGGGAUUGGGAUCUCUCUGGAGACAGAUACUGGCUUCAGAGAUGGAGGCAGCUGAGUGACAAGGAGCUGGGUGGACUUUUUUUAUUUGACUUGCAAGUAAUUUGUUUCUGCAGAAGGCCCCACACAUUGGGUGCUGUUAACAUCUGCUGAGUGAAUGACAGAGUUAAUAAAUGAAUAAACAAGAAUCUUCAGCCGCCUGCUCACUGGACAUCAAGGGUGUUGGUAAUAGG
rnacentral:lncRNA from 1 species